rnacentral:ncRNA from 1 species
GUGGCUCUGGAGAAUCCCGAAAGGGUGCCGAAGGUGCAAGAUGCGGAGGUUGAACAGACUUCUGCGUUAAUCUCUCAGGCAAAAGGACAGAGUAGG